GCCGAGGUGGUGAAACCGGCAGACACACUAGCCUUAGGAGCUAGCGCUCGCAAGAGCAUGGGAGUUCAAAUCUCCCCCUCGGCA
rnacentral:tRNA from 1 species